UGACGACGCAACGCCGCGUGGAGGAUGAAGGUCUUCGGAUUGUAAACUCCUGUUGCUCGGGACGAAAAGCUCUGACCUAACACGUCAGAGUCUGACGGUACCGAGUGAGGAAGCCCCGGCUAACUCUGUGCCAGCAGCCGCGGUAAUACAGAGGGGGCUAGCGUUGUUCGGAAUUACUGGGCGUAAAGGGCGCGUAGGCGGCCCUCUAAGUCGAACGUGAAAUCCCCGGGCUCAACCCGGGAACUGCGUCCGAUACUGGAGGGCUCGAAUCCGGGAGAGGGAUGUGGAAUUCCAGGUGUAGCGGUGAAAUGCGUAGAUAUCUGGAGGAACGCCGGUGGCGAAGGCGGCAUCCUGGACCGGUAUUGACGCUGAGGCGCGAAAGCCAGGGGAGCAAACGGGAUUAGAUACCCCGGUAGUCCUGGCCCUAAACGAUGAAUGCUUGGUGUGGCGGGUAUCGAUCCCUGCCGUGCCGAAGUUAACGCAUUAAGCAUUCCGCCUGGGGAGUACGGUCGCAAGGCUG
rnacentral:rRNA from 1 species